UUGUGCCCUUGAGGCGUGGCUUCCGGAGCUAACGCGUUAAGUAGACCGCCUGGGGAGUACGGCCGCAAGGUUAAAACUCAAAUGAAUUGACGGGGGCCCGCACAAGCGGUGGAGCAUGUGGUUUAAUUCGAUGCAACGCGAAGAACCUUACCUGGUCUUGACAUCCACGGAAGUUUUCAGAGAUGAGAAUGUGCCUUCGGGAACCGUGAGACAGGUGCUGCAUGGCUGUCGUCAGCUCGUGUUGUGAAAUGUUGGGUUAAGUCCCGCAACGAGCGCAACCCUUAUCCUUUGUUGCCAGCGGUCCGGCCGGGAACUCAAAGGAGACUGCCAGUGAUAAACUGGAGG
rnacentral:rRNA from 1 species